AACAUGACAAUAUUGGAAAAAAAAUUAGUAUAUACCAAAUUUGUCAGCAUACUUUAAAUAUUAAAUAUUUUAUUUACUUUGAUAACUUACCAAAUUAGAUGAUAUCCAAUUUAUUAAGUAUCCAGCUCAAAAAAAUAUUGAAUUUAAAUUUAAUUUUUGAAAUUGGUAUUGUAAUGUAAAAUUUUAAUUUUGAAAUUUAUAUUAAACUUUUAAAUUUGAAUCUAAAUUGAACGUUUAAUCUUAAAGCCAACUUUUGAAUUUUGAUUUAAAUUGAAAUUUUGAAUUGGAACUAAAAGUUUUAUUUCAAAAUUUGUGUUUUAUAUUCAAAAAAUUGAAUUUGAUUUAUAAAGUUUUAAAUGUUGUUUUGAAUUUAAAUUUACAGUUUGGUUGUAAUUUGAAAUUCAACUAUUGUUGUAGGUAUUUAAGAGGGUCACAAUAUUUUUAGUUGGAUAAAACCGGUUUUGUGGACCAAACUAUUUUACAAAGACUAGAAGUCAGGCUCAAGAAUAACGGAUAGGCUAAAUCCUUUCAAUAAUGCAUCAUUUUAUAUUUUUAAUUUGAAUAUGAUUCAUUAGUAAAAAAAAUCAAAUUUAGUAAAGAUAAUUAUGCAAAGAUGGAAUAUUGAAGGAGAAAGACGGAAUAUUUUGUAUUUACAAGGAUUGUAUGUUAUGAUGCUG
rnacentral:lncRNA from 1 species